rnacentral:lncRNA from 1 species
GUCACCGUGCCGUGGACAGUUGGAGGUGUUUAUGGAGCUCCGUCACCCUGCCGUGGACAGUCGGAGGUGUUUAUGGAGCUCCGUCACCGUGCCAUCCGUGGACAGUCGGAGGUGUUUAUGGAGCUCUGUCACCCUGCCGUGGACAGUCGGAGGUGUUUAUGGAGCUCCGUCACUGUGCCGUGGACAGUCGGAGGUGUUUAUGGCGCUCCAUCACCAUCUAUGGGCAACCAGAGGUGUCCAUGGACAACCAGAGACAUCCAUGGAGAUCCUGUGCCACCAUCUGUGGAGAUCCAGCGUCGCCCAUGGUAACCAGAGAUGUCUAUGGAGAUCCACCACCAUCCAUGGGCAAUCAUCACCAUCCGUGGAAAUCCAGUGCCACUAUCUGUGGAGAUCCAGCAUCAUCCAUGGACAUCCAGCCUCAUCCAUAGGCAACCAGAGACGUCUAUGGAGAUCCAUCAUCAUCUUUGGGCGACCAUCACCACCUGUGGGCCACCAGAGACGCCCAUGGAGAUCCAGUGUCACCAUCCAUGCACAUCCAGCAUCAUGCAUGAGCAACCAUCACCAUCCGUGGAGAUCCAGUGCCGCCAUCCAUGGAGAUCCAGCAUCAUCCGUGGAGAUCCAGUGCCACCAUCCAUGGACAGCUGGUGCUAGCCACGGGCAACCGGAGAUGUCCAUGGACAACCAGCUCGUGCACCCGCUGGUGGCCCCAGACAUCCUGCACUGCAGGCCAGGCCCCUCCCCGGAGCCGCCUGCCACCCCUGCCCCACGGCGUGACGCACCUAUGGGUGGCCCCUGCCCCGUGGGAUGGACGGCGGCGCCCAGGGACAACCGGAGCCGUCCGUGGACCUCCAGCACCAUCCAUGGACAGCCGGAGAUGGCCAGCGGACACCCGGCAGCGGCUGUGGACCUCUCGCGCCCUCGGUGCGGUCUCGUUGGCCAACCACCCCCCCGCCGUCAUCCCGUUGGCCAACCACCACCCUUGUUGCCAACCCGUUGGCCAACCAGUGCCACCAUCCCGUUGGCCAACCACCACCCUUGUUGCCAACCCGUUGGCCAACCAGUGCCACCAUCCCGUUGGCCAACCACCACCUUCACCGCCAUCCUGUUGGCCAACCAACGUUGCCAACUCAUUGGCCAACCAACGUUGCUGUCAUCCCGUUGGCCAACCAGUGCCAGUGCCACCCUCCCGUUGGCCAACCACCACCUUCACCGCCAACCCAUUGGCCAACCAAUGUUGCCAACCCAUUGGCCAACUGGUGCCAUCAUCCCGUUGGCCAACCACCACCCUUGUUGCCAUCCCAUUGGCCAACCAGCGUUGCCAACCCGUUGGCCAACCACCACCCUUGAUGCCAUCCCGUUGGCCAACCAGUGCCACCAUCCCGUUGGCCAACCAACGCUGCCAUCCCAUUGGCCAACCACCACCCUCGUUGCCAACCCGUUGGCCAACUGGUGCCACCAUCCCAUUGGCCAACCAAUGUUGCUGCCACCCUGUUGGCCAACCAGUGCCACCAUCCCAUUGGCCAACCGCCACCUUCACCACCAUCCCGUUGGCCAAUCAGUGCCACCAUCCCGUUGGCCAACCACCACCUUCACCGCCAUCCCAUUGGCCAACCAGUGCCACCAUCCCGUUGGCCAACCAACGCUGCCGCCAUCCCCUUGGCCAACCACCACCCUCGUUGCCAUCCCAUUGGCCAACCAAUGUCCCCCACCGUGCCAUGGCCCAACGCCGCGGUUGGCCAACCGGCGCCUGCCCCACACGGAUGUCCCCCACGGCCAACCAGCACCCGCCCCACGCCGUGACCCACAGAGGUCCCAGCGGCCAACCGCUGUCCCCAACGCCGUCGCCAUCCCGGUGGCCAACCGAUGUCCCCCCCGCGCUCCGACCCCGUUCCCGGAGGGCGACGCCAAUAAAGCGGGGAGGCAGGCGGCAGCGGCUGCUCCGUGGGGCGGCGCCGUGGGGCGGCCGGGCCCUUUAUUGGGGCGGAGCUUCGGGCUCCUCCUCGAAGGUGAGGGUGCGGCGCAGGGUCCCCAGGGGGCCGGGGCUGCCGUCGGGGGACCUG